GAUGAACGCUGGCGGCGUGCUUAACACAUGCAAGUCGAGCGAGAAGUUUUGAAAAGAUUCUUCGGAUGAAAUUUAAAAUGGAAAGCGGCGGACGGGUGAGUAACGCGUAGGCAACCUGCCCCAUACAAAGGGAUAGCAUUUGGAAACGAAUAUUAAUACCUUAUGAAACUUAACUAGUGCAUGCUAGGUAGGUCAAAGAUUUAUCGGUAUGGGAUGGGCCUGCGUCUGAUUAGCUAGUUGGUGAGGUAACGGCUCACCAAGGCGACGAUCAGUAGCCGACCUGAGAGGGUGAACGGCCACAUUGGAACUGAGACACGGUCCAAACUCCUACGGGAGGCAGCAGUGGGGAAUACUGCACAAUGGGGGAAACCCUGAUGCAGCGACGCCGCGUGAACGAUGAAGGCCUUUGGGUCGUAAAGUUCUGUUCUAGGUGAUGAAAACUGACAGUAACCUAGGAGAAAGCCCCGGCUAACUCCGUG
rnacentral:rRNA from 1 species